rnacentral:rRNA from 1 species
AUGGCCGCCGCGACCACCACCACCUCCCGCCCGCUUCUGCUGUCCCGCCAGCAGGCGGCGGCUAGCUCCCUCCAAUGCCGCCUCCCCAGGAGGCCCGGAAGCAGCCUCUUUGCCGGCCAGGGCCAGGCGUCGACUCCGAAUGUGCGGUGCAUGGCAGUCGUGGACACGGCCUCGGCGCCGGCGCCGGCGGCGGCUAGGAAGAGGAGCAGCUACGACAUGAUCACGCUGACGACGUGGCUGCUGAAGCAGGAGCAGGAGGGGGUCAUCGACAACGAGAUGACCAUCGUGCUGUCCAGCAUAUCCACGGCGUGCAAGCAGAUCGCCUCGUUGGUGCAGCGCGCGCCCAUCUCCAACCUCACCGGCGUCCAGGGCGCCACCAACGUGCAGGGCGAGGACCAGAAGAAGCUCGACGUCAUCUCCAACGAGGUGUUCUCGAACUGCCUGAGGUGGAGUGGCCGCACCGGCGUGAUCGCAUCGGAGGAGGAGGACGUGCCGGUGGCGGUGGAGGAGAGCUACUCGGGCAACUACAUCGUGGUGUUCGACCCGCUCGACGGCUCCUCCAACAUCGACGCCGCCGUCUCCACCGGCUCCAUCUUCGGCAUCUACAGCCCAUCCGACGAGUGCCACAUUGGCGACGACGCAACCCUUGACGAAGUGACGCAGAUGUGCAUAGUGAACGUGUGCCAGCCAGGGAGCAACCUGCUCGCCGCCGGCUACUGCAUGUACUCGAGCUCGGUCAUCUUCGUGCUCACCAUCGGCACCGGGGUGUACGUGUUCACGCUGGACCCGAUGUACGGCGAGUUCGUGCUGACGCAGGAGAAGGUGCAGAUCCCAAAGUCGGGCAAGAUCUACUCCUUCAACGAGGGCAACUACGCGCUCUGGGACGACAAGCUCAAGAAGUACAUGGACAGCCUCAAGGAGCCCGGCACCUCCGGCAAGCCCUACUCCGCGCGCUACAUCGGCAGCCUCGUCGGCGACUUCCACCGCACCAUGCUCUACGGCGGCAUCUACGGGUACCCCAGCGACCAGAAGAGCAAGAACGGCAAGCUGCGGCUGCUCUACGAGUGCGCGCCCAUGAGCUUCAUCGCCGAGCAGGCCGGCGGCAAAGGCUCCGACGGCCACCAGAGGGUACUCGACAUCAUGCCCACAGCGGUCCAUCAGAGAGUGCCUCUGUACGUCGGGAGCGUGGAGGAAGUGGAGAAGGUGGAGAAAUUCUUGUCUUCAGAGUAG